UUUUGGCUUAAACAUAAUCACCUUGGAAACUAUAUCAUUUCAUCGGAAUGUCUCAUCUUUUGAAAUAUCCAGAUUCGCUUCCUUGAAACUCUCAAAUUCAAAAACGGUGAAUUUAUUCGGUCAUCAUAAUUAUUGAAUUCUUUCAAUCAUUACAAACACUUUAGUAGCGUCCAAAUAGAUUUGUAGCCUGUACUAAACCCUAUUCAUACGCCAUUCGUUUGAUUUUUCAUAUUCUUGGUACAAUUAUGUACUCAGAUUACGAUACACUAAAUUCUAUUGUCCAGUGCCAUUUAAGUAAACGAUAUUGAUUUUCGGAUAAUCAUUAACAACUCAUUUUCCAUACUUCCAUUCACAAAUAGAUAUUUAUCAAUUCAGAAUCUCCCUCAAUUGAUCAAAGUAAGUUCAUUUCGGAUAUUGAAUCCAACUGUUUCUAUAAAUCAUUUUUACUUUCAAAACUCAUACCCCUCGAAAUAUCUUUUGAUUCCAUUCCACGAUACAUAACCCCAAGAAAAUAUCAUAGUCCGAAUCUCGAGGACGAGAUUUUUAUUAAGGUGGGGAGGAUGUAACAACUCUCACUAAAAUUAAUAUUUAAUAUAAUUAUCCAAUAAGGAAACCCUAAUUAAGACACCCAAGUGAUUCUGCACAAACCCUAAAAUUUCCGGAAUGAUCGGAAUCAGGAUCAGGGCCCCUAAAACUCAAGGGGGGGAUAAACCUAGUGGACGAUUAUCCUAAAAACGCGUUGCCUAAAUCUGAUUGGUCGAUUCUGUUGAUUCAGCAUAGCUAGUCCCAUGCGUGGCAACCCUAUAGUCGGUUCCAACCCUUUACGGACCGUAAAGGGUUAGGUUUACGGUCCGCAAGCGUGUCCAAUUUCGUGUAUAAAUAGCCGACCUUGGCUCAUGCUUUCUGUUGUUAAAACGAUGGCCAAAUUCCUCUUGUACGUCGAGUUAUACUAAACACAGUCCAAAACACACACACCACGAAGUGCUGCCGCAAUCAGGGUAUUAACUCGAUCACUGUUCAAUUCUUUUCUUUCCAUCAGCUUUUAUUUUGUAAAUAAUAGCUCGGGAUUUUACCCUCUAAAUCCCUAAACUCUACCCGUUAUUAGGGUAAUAACUCUAAUCACUGGUAUGAUACUUUAUCCGAUCGAUUAUAACUAUCCAACGAUUGUCUGAGUGCUGCUCAAAUUGAGUUAUACUUUGUUAUUCAUCAUAAUUUCGACUUGAAUGUUUGAGUGCUGUCCGAACUCGGGCUAUACUCUGUCAUUCGUUGUGAAUCCGAUGAAUUGUUAAGUAUUGCACUUAUAAAUCGUCGUGAGUGUUUUAUCUCGUGAUUGUCGUUAAAGUUGUAUUGAGUUAGUACACUAAUACGUGUUCCAUUGUGUCUAGAAAUUAGAACUCGUAAGCAAGGAGCUGCUAGAGUACUUAGUAGCUAAGUAAACUUAAUAAGUUAAAUAAACUUAGCAGUUAAGUUAGCUGAGUAAAUUAAUUAAUUUGUUAAUUAAGUUUAGUAUGAUUAAUUAAUCAGUUAAUCAAUAUUAAGCUAAGCAAGAUUAAUUAAGCUAAGUAAGUUAUUUAGUUAAAUGGAUAAGGAAACUUAAUAGUUAAGGAAACUUAAUAGUUAAGGAAACUUAAUACUUAAGAAAACUUAAUGGUUAAGGAAACUUCCUAGCUAAGGAAUAAAUCUACCUAUAAAUAGGAAGCUUAGGAUUCAUUUUCUUUGUUCAUUUCUUUCUUCUUUUCUCUAUACGUUGGUGUUCUAACCAAUAAUCACCGAUGCGAUGCUCUGUCCGAUCGAUUCAUGAACCAUCCAACGAAUACCGAAGUGCUGUGCUUUGUGAAUUUCGUUAAACGGAUGCCAAAGUAUUAUACUUUGAGAGUUCGUUAAAUGGAUGCCAAAGUACUAUACUUUGUGAUUUCGGUAAACGGAAUCCAAAGUGUUACACUUUGUGAAAUUCGUUAAGGUUCGAAUCUCGUGACUACCGUUAAGGUUUGAUUUGGGUUUUACACAAAUACGUAUUCCAUUCUGUUAAACUAUAUGUUUAACUACCAAAAAUACUCCCAACUACACACUCACAAUCAAACAAACUAUUAAAUCAUCAGAAGAUCCAGAAUAAUAAAGUGCAUGCUUAAUUGUCGGAAGAAGUAGAAUCAAGAAACUUGUUAACUCAAUCUUGCAUGCUUAUAAUGUAAUUACAAUAGAUUGGCGUAAGGAUUGGAUCCGGCACUGAAAGGACUUCAAGAAGUGGCUUAUUUUAUUAAUUAAAUCAAAUUAAGAAAUAUUGUUUUUAUUAAAAGCUACCUUUGUAAAACAUGGAAUUUAUUCCAUCUAUUUAAAUAAAAUCCGGUGU
rnacentral:lncRNA from 1 species